UCCUGCUGUCUCUGCACUUACCUCGCUGUGACGUCACAGUGUUUGUAAGGCUGUGUAAUGGUGGGCUUUGUGUUCGUUUCGCUCUCUUGUGUUUGGGGGUUAUUGCCACGCGCGUAUACGAGUGACAUAAUAUUGCGACGCUCCUGAGUGCCAGAUGAAGUAGUCUGGUCAGCAGUUUAUUGUGGCGUUUAGUGUGAGGGAGGUCGGUGGACAGCAAGUGGACACGGAAGUCCACACGAAAGGCGAUGACGAUCCCUGCCGCCCCUCGCCUCCCUCACCACGCCCCGGGAAUAUCGAGCUCCGACGCCCGCUUCCCUUUCCUCGUCUUUGUGGGUCGCUGGUCGUGUUGUGUGAAGUGCCGCCACGCCUCUCACACGGUAUG